GGGAGUCACAGAGGGGUCUGCUGGCUGCUUAUGGGCAACACUCUGGCAACUUAUUGGCAGCUGUGAACCUCCUGCAAGAACCAAAAAAGCUUAAUAUCCUCUGCAACAUCCACUCAGAUCAGCUGACGAGAUUCUCUUGCAUUCCUUCACCAGCCCUCUCUUUCUUGCUCAUAGCACACGACAUGAUGCAAACCCACUUGCUGCUUGUCCCCCAGGUGCUCAGAGGUUCCCUUCUGAUUACACAAAUUAAAAGUGACUUCUACAAAUCUGGAAGAGAUGUGCUGCACACACUUCUCAGCACAGCACAUGGCAGCCUUUGAAACAGCCCAGCGUAAGAUUAUGUAGACUGUAUGGCAUGAACAAGGUCCAAGGCAGAUGCCGAACAUCACGAAACCUGAGCCAGAAAAUCAUUUGAUCUUCCAUAGUGAAGCAGACCUUACAGAAGUUAGCG